AGAACCUGGGUCUCCUGACCUAAGCAUGGACCGUUUUGCAAGCGCUGAGUAAGCAGGAGGUGCGAGCACUGAAUUCCCCAGGAAUUCUUGGAGCUGGACCAGCAGUGAGUUUGACCCAACGUGCAUGAGAAGCGUGUUGUUCAGCUGAUAAGGGAGCCGAGAACAUGCAUCAGCAAACACAGUUUGUUUAUCCCGUAAUAACUGGUUUUGAGUAGUACAGCAAAAAGUGGCUGGGUCUGCACGAGGCAGAUAAGAGCUCCUACCAAAAGGACGAGCAAAGGGCACAUGAGGCUUCCUGGAAACUUCAAAAGAGAAGCCUUCAGUGGGAAUGGAUGACUAAGGGAAUUGCAAAGGGUUUCUGGAGUCUUUUAUCUUUGCACUACCUCUUCAAAUCUGGCUCAACACUUCAGUAAUUUAUUGUUGCCGUCAUCUGAUGAAUGUUCACUGGGCUCAGGCUUUCUCGUACCGCACAGGUGUUCAGAGCCAAAAACCCCACUGCUGGAACCGCAGCCAGUGGUCGUCUUGUUAAGAAUCUCAGCUAACAACCCAAAGAGGGAACAUGUGGAGCUGAAAAGUGAGCUGCUAUCUGGUUCAUACAGAUGGCUUUUUUCAGGUGUGAAAGAAUCAGUAGUAGCAGCAUUUUCGAAGGGGCACACGAUUGUUCUCCAUUCUCCUCAAGCAAAGAGAGGCUUUUAGAGCUUCUAGGCAAAUGCAAAAGCUGCAUCUACACAACCGGGUUCCCCACACCUCCCACAAGAGCAUG
rnacentral:lncRNA from 1 species